rnacentral:rRNA from 1 species
GUGAGGAAUAUUGGUCAAUGGGCGAGAGCCUGAACCAGCCAAGUAGCGUGAAGGAUGAAGGCUCUAUGGGUCGUAAACUUCUUUUAUAUGGGAAUAAAGUUUUCCACGUGUGGAAUUUUGUAUGUACCAUAUGAAUAAGGAUCGGCUAACUCCGUGCCAGCAGCCGCGGUAAUACGGAGGAUCCGAGCGUUAUCCUGAUUUAUUGGGUUUAAAGGGAGCGUAGGUGGAUUGUUAAGUCAGUUGUGAAAGUUUGCGGCUCAACCGUAAAAUUGCAGUUGAAACUGGCAGUCUUGAGUACAGUAGAGGUGGGCGGAAUUCGUGGUGUAGCGGUGACAUGCUUAGAUAUCACGAAGAACUCCGAUUGCGAAGGCAGCUCACUAGACUGUCACUGACACUGAUGCUCGAAAGUGUGGGUAUCAAACAGGAUUAGAUACCCGAGUAGUCC